UAGGCGAGCUGAGGUCAAUUACAUUAGGUCCCGUUGAACACCUCUUCACAGCCUUACCAGAAGAUUCUUGUUUUGGUAGUGAAUCUUGAAGAAUUAUUCCUGCUUCCUGUGGUGCAGAGUUUCGUGCUUCUUCUAGCAAUGUAUUAAGACCAUUGGAAUAUUUUCGAGCGAGUUAUCUGCUGGAACUAUGGUGUUAUCUAGAUGAAAAAGUGGAUUUUCUCGAUAAAGUGGGCUGAGUCUAUCCCAUUUCCACUCUGGAAAAGCUCUUAUGCAAGCACAGAAGUGUUUGCACAAAAGUUUGUUGUGUCUCCAGUCUACGCAGGUGCAGUUUGGAAGCGUUUGUUCAUCACCAAAAAGUACGAUAUGGUGCUCCUUCCCUGUUGAACUUUUUACUUCAAAGACCCCCUGGGGACACCAUGUGGACCAUGUCUUUGCUAAUGUCACUAUCCCAACGCUUCAUAAUAUGAGACACCAUUCUGGCAGGUCUGUUGUGCAGAAAUUUUGGAAGUUCCUCAUUAUAAGCACGAAUCCAAAGAUGACUAAAGUCUACAGUAAGUGCCGCUGUAGUUAGCCUAAUCACACCUUUCAAUAAUUUGUUAAUUAAGCAGUUGUUUUUCAAAGAAGGGGCCUGUGU